UACGUAGGGGGCAAGCGUUGUCCGGAAUCAUUGGGCGUAAAGCGCGUGUAGGCGGUCCGGUAAGUCGGUUGUGAAAGUCCAGGGCUCAACCCUGGGAUGCCGACCGAUACUGUCGGACUAGAGUUCGGAAGAGGCGAGUGGAAUUCCCGGUGUAGCGGUGAAAUGCGUAGAUAUCGGGAGGAAUACCGAUGGCGAAGGCAGGUCUCUGGGCUGACACUGACGCUCAUGCACGAAAGCGUGGGGGAGCAAACAGG
rnacentral:rRNA from 1 species